rnacentral:rRNA from 1 species
CGGCGGACGGGUGAGUAAUGCCUAGGAAUCUGCCUGGUAGUGGGGGAUAACGUCCGGAAACGGGCGCUAAUACCGCAUACGUCCUGAGGGAGAAAGUGGGGGAUCUUCGGACCUCACGCUAUCAGAUGAGCCUAGGUCGGAUUAGCUAGUUGGUGGGGUAAAGGCCUACCAAGGCGACGAUCCGUAACUGGUCUGAGAGGAUGAUCAGUCACACUGGAACUGAGACACGGUCCAGACUCCUACGGGAGGCAGCAGUGGGGAAUAUUGGACAAUGGGCGAAAGCCUGAUCCAGCCAUGCCGCGUGUGUGAAGAAGGUCUUCGGAUUGUAAAGCACUUUAAGUUGGGAGGAAGGGCAGUAAGUUAAUACCUUGCUGUUUUGACGUUACCAACAGAAUAAGCACCGGCUAACUUCGUGCCAGCAGCCGCGGUAAUACGAAGGGUGCAAGCGUUAAUCGGAAUUACUGGGCGUAAAGCGCGCGUAGGUGGUUCAGCAAGUUGGAUGUGAAAUCCCCGGGCUCAACCUGGGAACUGCAUCCAAAACUACUGAGCUAGAGUACGGUAGAGGGUGGUGGAAUUUCCUGUGUAGC